rnacentral:rRNA from 1 species
CUACGGGGCGCUGCAGUGAGGAAUAUUGCACAAUGGGGGGAACCCUGAUGCAGCAACGCCGCGUGGAGGAUGACGCAUUUCGGUGUGUAAACUCCUUUUAUAUGUCAAGAAAAUGACGGUAGCAUAUGAAUAAGCACCGGCUAACUCCGUGCCAGCAGCCGCGGUAAUACGGAGGGUGCAAGCGUUACUCGGAAUCACUGGGCGUAAAGGACGCGUAGGCGGGUUGGAAAGUCAGGUGUGAAAUCCUACAGCUUAACUGUAGAACUGCACUUGAAACUUCUAAGCUAGAGUAUGGGAGGGGAGAUGGAAUUAGUGGUGUAGGGGUAAGAUCCGUAGAUAUCACUAGGAAUACCUAAAGCGAAGGCGAUCUCCUGGAACAUUACUGACGCUAAGGCGUGAAAGCGUGGGGAGCAAACAGGAUUAGAUACCCUUGUAGUC